rnacentral:rRNA from 1 species
UGGGGAAUAUUGCACAAUGGGCGAAAGCCUGAUGCAGCGACGCCGCGUGAGGGAUGACGGCCUUCGGGUUGUAAACCUCUUUCAGCAGGGAAGAAGCGAAGGUGACGGUACCUGCAGAAGAAGCGCCGGCUAACUACGUGCCAGCAGCCGCGGUAAUACGUAGGGCGCAAGCGUUGUCCGGAAUUAUUGGGCGUAAAGAGCUCGUAGGCGGUUGGUCGCGUCUGCUGUGAAAACGCGAGGCUCAACCUCGCGCCUGCAGUGGGUACGGGCAGAGUAGAGUGCGGUAGGGGAGACUGGAAUUCCUGGUGUAGCGGUGAAAAGCGCAGAUAUCAGGAGGAACACCGGUGGCGAAGGCGGGUGUCUGGGCCGUAACUGACGCUGGGGAGCGAAAGCGUGGGGAGCGAACA